rnacentral:rRNA from 1 species
CAACAGGGCAUUGCCUUAGUAACGGCGAGUGAAGCGGCAAAAGCUCAAAUUUGAAAUCUGGCAUCUUCGGUGUCCGAGUUGUAAUUUGAAGAUUGAAGGUUCAUUGGGUCUUGUCUAUGUUCCUUGGAAUAGGACAUCACAGAGGGUGAGAAUCCCGUGCGAUGAGAUUCCGUAUUGUAACCUUCUUUCGACGAGUCGAGUUGUUUGGGAAUGCAGCUCUAAGUGGGUGGUAAAUUCCAUCUAAAGCUAAAUAUUGGCGAGAGACCGAUAGCGAACAAGUACAGUGAUGGAAAGAUGAAAAGAACUUUGAAAAGAGAGUGAAAAAGUACGUGAAAUUGUUGAAAGGGAAGGAUAUGAGAUCAGACUUGGUAUUUUGCAACCUUACUCUCGUGGUGGGGCCCCUGCAGUUUACUGGGCCAGCAUCAAUUUGGAUG